CUUGACUGUAUCCUGGAAUUGGGUUCGGGCUUUUCUUGCGCAGCCUAGGUGGGAGGCUAUGAAGGUUCCCUUCCGGGGGAAUUUGAGCCAUCAUUGAGAGACCACUCUGGAAGAGCUAGAAUCCUAAUGGUGAUCUUUGAAUCAAGACACUUGACAGUUUCAGGUGGGCAGUUUAUCUGGGGCGGAUGCCUCCUAAAGCGUAACGGAGGCGUGCAAAGGUUCUCUCAGUCUGGACGGAAAUCAGACAUUGAGUGCAAAGGCAAAAGAGAGCUUGACUGUAAGACCAACAAGUCGAGCAGGGGCGAAAGCCGGCCUUAGUGAUCCGACGGUGCCGUGUGGAAGGGCCGUCGCUCAACGGAUAAAAGUUA
rnacentral:rRNA from 1 species